rnacentral:rRNA from 7 species
AGAGUUUGAUCCUGGCUCAGGAUGAACGCUGGCGGCGUGCCUAAUACAUGCAAGUCGAGCGAACGGACGAGAAGCUUGCUUCUCUGAUGUUAGCGGCGGACGGGUGAGUAACACGUGGAUAACCUACCUAUAAGACUGGGAUAACUUCGGGAAACCGGAGCUAAUACCGGAUAAUAUUUUGAACCGCAUGGUUCAAAAGUGAAAGACGGUCUUGCUGUCACUUAUAGAUGGAUCCGCGCUGCAUUAGCUAGUUGGUAAGGUAACGGCUUACCAAGGCAACGAUGCAUAGCCGACCUGAGAGGGUGAUCGGCCACACUGGAACUGAGACACGGUCCAGACUCCUACGGGAGGCAGCAGUAGGGAAUCUUCCGCAAUGGGCGAAAGCCUGACGGAGCAACGCCGCGUGAGUGAUGAAGGUCUUCGGAUCGUAAAACUCUGUUAUUAGGGAAGAACAUAUGUGUAAGUAACUGUGCACAUCUUGACGGUACCUAAUCAGAAAGCCACGGCUAACUACGUGCCAGCAGCCGCGGUAAUACGUAGGUGGCAAGCGUUAUCCGGAAUUAUUGGGCGUAAAGCGCGCGUAGGCGGUUUUUUAAGUCUGAUGUGAAAGCCCACGGCUCAACCGUGGAGGGUCAUUGGAAACUGGAAAACUUGAGUGCAGAAGAGGAAAGUGGAAUUCCAUGUGUAGCGGUGAAAUGCGCAGAGAUAUGGAGGAACACCAGUGGCGAAGGCGACUUUCUGGUCUGUAACUGACGCUGAUGUGCGAAAGCGUGGGGAUCAAACAGGAUUAGAUACCCUGGUAGUCCACGCCGUAAACGAUGAGUGCUAAGUGUUAGGGGGUUUCCGCCCCUUAGUGCUGCAGCUAACGCAUUAAGCACUCCGCCUGGGGAGUACGACCGCAAGGUUGAAACUCAAAGGAAUUGACGGGGACCCGCACAAGCGGUGGAGCAUGUGGUUUAAUUCGAAGCAACGCGAAGAACCUUACCAAAUCUUGACAUCCUUUGACAAC